CCUACGGGAGGCAGCAGUGGGGAAUAUUGCGCAAUGGGCGAAAGCCUGACGCAGCGACGCCGCGUGAGGGAUGAAGGUCUUCGGAUCGUAAACCUCUGUCAGCAGGGAAGAACGGUCACUGUGCUAAUCAGCAGUGAAUUGACGGUACCUGCAAAGGAAGCACCGGCUAACUCCGUGCCAGCAGCCGCGGUAAUACGGAGGGUGCGAGCGUUAAUCGGAAUUACUGGGCGUAAAGCGCUCGUAGGCGGUAUGUCAAGUCAAGGGUGAAAUCCCCGCGCUCAACGUGGGAACUGCCUUUGAAACUGGCAAACUGGAGUGUGUGAGAGGAUAGUGGAAUGCCAGGUGUAGGAGUGAAAUGCGUAGAGAUCUGGAGGAACAUCAGUGGCGAAGGCGACUAUCUGGCACAUAACUGACGCUGAGGAGCGAAAGCGUGGGUAGCAAACAGGAUUAGAUACCCUUGUAGUC
rnacentral:rRNA from 1 species